AGCACUCAUCCAUUGACCCGUCGAUUUCCGAAUGGGGGAACCCUAUAAACUACUUCCUGAAUUCAUAGGGAAGAAAGAGCCAACCCGGGGAAGUGAACCAUCUCAGUACCCGGAGGAAAAGAAAACAACAGUGAUCCCGUCAGUAGCGGCGAGCGAAAGCGGAACAGCCUAAACCGACAGGGCUUGCUCUGUCGGGGUCGUGGGACCAGAUACAACGGAUCCGGAGGCUUAGCGGAAGGGUGU
rnacentral:rRNA from 1 species